rnacentral:rRNA from 1 species
CCUACGGGUGGCAGCAGUGGGGAAUAUUGGGCAAUGGGCGCAAGCCUGACCCAGCAACGCCGCGUGAAGGAAGAAGGCUUUCGGGUUGUAAACUUCUUUUCUCAGGGACGAAGCAAGUGACGGUACCUUUGGAAUAAGCCACGCCGAACUCCUUGCCAGCAGCCGCGGUAAUACGUAGGUGGCAAGCGUUAUCCGGAUUUACUGGGUGUAAAGGGCGUGUAGGCGGGAAAGCAAGUCAGAUGUGAAAACCACGGGAGCAACCUGUGACCUGCAUUUGAACCUGUUUUUCUUGAGUACUGGAGAGGCAGACGGAAUUCCUAGUGUAGCGGUGAAAUGCGUAGAUAUUAGGAGGAACACCAGUGGCGAAGGCGGUCUGCUGGACAGCAACUGACGGUGAGGCGCGAAAGCGUGGGGAGCAAACAGGAUUAGAUACCCGAGUAGUC